AUCCAGCUGACGAGUUCCAAGUAGGACGAAAUGCGCGUCCUGAAU
rnacentral:hammerhead_ribozyme from 1 species